rnacentral:rRNA from 1 species
GAAGGUGGCCUGUGAGGGUUGCUGGAGGUAUCAGAAGUGCGAAUGCUGACAUAAGUAACGAUAAAGCGGGUGAAAAGCCCGCUCGCCGGAAGACCAAGGGUUCCUGUCCAACGUUAAUCGGGGCAGGGUGAGUCGACCCCUAAGGCGAGGCCGAAAGGCGUAGUCGAUGGGAAACGGGUUAAUAUUCCCGUACUUGGUGUUACUGCGAAGGGGGGACGGAGAAGGCUAUGUUGGCCGGGCGACGGUUGUCCCGGUUUAAGCGUGUAGGUGUGUGUUCCAGGUAAAUCCGGUUCACUUUAACACUGAGGCGUGAUGACGAGGCACUACGGUGCUGAAGCAACAAAUGCCCUGCUUCCAGGAAAAGCCUCUAAGCAUCAGGUAACAUCAAAUCGUACCCCAAACCGACACAG